UACGAAGGGGGCUAGCGUUGCUCGGAAUGACUGGGCGUAAAGGGCGCGUAGGCGGAUGGCACAGUCAGAUGUGAAAUUCCCGGGCUUAACCUGGGGGCUGCAUUUGAUACGUGUUGUCUUGAGUUCGGAAGAGGGUCGUGGAAUUCCCAGUGUAGAGGUGAAAUUCGUAGAUAUUGGGAAGAACACCGGUGGCGAAGGCGGCGACCUGGUCCGACACUGACGCUGAGGCGCGAAAGCCAGGGGAGCAAACGGG
rnacentral:rRNA from 1 species